GGGGAUGUAUUUGGUUUCGACAGUAAUUUAGAAGUAUAAAUAGCGAGUAGUGGACGCACCAGGCCACUUAAAAAGGUGCAAUUAAUAAUAAACGCUAAUAACGAAGAAUUAGCUUACGCUGCCUAAGUUGCGGCGUCGUCCUUUUCUAGAACCUACGGCUAGAAAUAGGGCGUCAAAUUAGUAGGAAACAAAGCAAAUUGUUGCUCUUGCAAUUUGUGGGUAUUUACAAGAGCUACUUUUUCUAAAAUAUGUUUGUUUAUGUUAGAAAAGGGAAUUUAAAGAACAAACUGCACUCGGAGAAGUUUAUGUGGAAGAAUUAUUGGACCGGAGUUCGACUCUCCGCAUCUCCACCA
rnacentral:tmRNA from 1 species